GCGGAGCGAACCCCAAAAAUAAACGUCCCAGUUCGGAUUGCAGUCUGCAACUCGACUGCAUGAAGCUGGAAUCGCUAGUAAUCGCGGAUCAGAAUGCCGCGGUGAAUACGUUCCCGGGCCUUGUACACACCGCCCGUCAAACCAUGAGAGUUGGCAACACCCGAAGUCGGUAGUCUAACCGCAAGGAGGACGCCGCCGAAGGUGGGGUUGAUGAUUAGGGUUAAGUCGUAACAAGGUACC
rnacentral:rRNA from 1 species